AGCCGUCUAGUGGGCCACUUUUGGUAAGCAGGUCAGUCGGUUCUAAGAGAUGGGCAAACGCUGUUCGGAAGGGUGGUCCAAUGGCCUACUUUCGACCCCGGCUGAUUUAAAAGGUUCAGAUCCCCAUGCUCUAUGCAGUGACUCAAGUGAUUUCCGAAAAGCUGGCUGGAGCCCUUGGGAGUUUUCCUUGCGAACGGAAGAGCGCCUUGGAAUGGAUUGGCCCAGAGAGAGGGACCUGCUGGAAAGUGUUGCGGUUCCAGCGGCAAACCAUGAGCUCUCGCUGGCCCUUGAAGAUCCAAAGAAAAUCUUGCUCUAGGCCGUACCCAUAUCUGCAGCAGGUCUCCAAGGUGAACAGCCUAUGGCU
rnacentral:ncRNA from 1 species